GAUGAACGCUGGCGGCGUGCCUAAUACAUGCAAGUCGAGCGAACAGAUAAGGAGCUUGCUCCUUUGACGUUAGCGGCGGACGGGUGAGUAACACGUGGGUAACCUACCUAUAAGACUGGAAUAACUCCGGGAAACCGGGGCUAAUGCCGGAUAACAUUUAGAACCGCAUGGUUCUAAAGUGAAAGAUGGUUUUGCUAUCACUUAUAGAUGGACCCGCGCCGUAUUAGCUAGUUGGUAAGGUAACGGCUUACCAAGGCAACGAUACGUAGCCGACCUGAGAGGGUGAUCGGCCACACUGGAACUGGGACACGGUCCAGACUCCUACGGGAGGCAGCAGUAGGGAAUCUUCCGGAAUGGGAGAAAGCCUGACGGAGCAACGCCGCGGGAGUGAUGAAGGUCUUCGGAUCGUAAAACUCUGUUAUUAGGGAAGAACAAAUGUGUAAGUAACUGUGCACGUCUUGACGGUACCUAAUCAGAAAGCCACGGCUAACUACGUG
rnacentral:rRNA from 1 species